CUUACGAUUCUGUAUCUGAUAAGACAUCUACUCUAUUGUUGAGUUUAAUGAUGAUAAUGAUCAAUUGAUCAUACAAUGUUUCAAAAUGCAGACUUUAUGGAAAAAGUUGCCGUGUUACCUACUGGUUAUCCAAAGAUAAGAUUGUUAAACUUAGUAUUUUCUUAUAUUCCCCAAAAGUCUUUUCUGUCAUUUGUUCUCAAUCUCCCUGCUUUGAUCCUGUUUUGGCUAAAAUCCUUGAUUUGGGUAUAUUUUCUGAAUGCUUCCACAAGAUUUUGAGUUCCUACAAAUGGACUUACCAAAUUCCUUUCAUUUUCUUAUAUAUUCCGUCGUCGAGAUUGUUGUUGGUCCUGCAGUAGUCAAUCUAUCUGUCUGGCACAUAAAAUCAAACAGUUUAGAGGGGCCUUGUUCAUAAGAACUUCAGCAUGUGAUGAAAUUGAUUUCUGCAAUAAUGCUUCUUCUGGUAUGGGGACAACCUGCAAAGAUUUUUCAACAAAAAAAAAGGAGAUUGCUAAUCCUAAACACUUUCCAUCACAAUCGUCAUUCACUUUGCUAUUUAUUAUCUUAAUUAUACAUACCACCUAGUUUUUAGUUUACAAAGGAAUUAUCAUCUUAAAGACUAAUAUUAUGCAGUUUGGGAUAGAAAGAAUUGAAGUUUUGCUUUUUAAGGUUUAA